rnacentral:tRNA from 1 species
AGUUAAGAUGGCAGAGCCUGGCUAUCGCAAAAGACCUAAGCCCUUUGAACAGAGGUUCAAAUCCUCUUCUUAACU